rnacentral:rRNA from 1 species
UACGGAGGGGGCUAGCGUUGUUCGGAAUUACUGGGCGUAAAGCGCGCGUAGGCGGAUCUGCAAGUCGGGGGUGAAAUCCCGAGGCUCAACCUCGGAACUGCCUUCGAUACUGCGGGUCUCGAGUCCGGGAGAGGUGAGUGGAACUGCGAGUGUAGAGGUGAAAUUCGUAGAUAUUCGCAAGAACACCAGUGGCGAAGGCGGCUCACUGGCCCGAUACUGACGCUGAGGUGCGAAAGCGUGGGGAGCAAACAGG